ensembl:lncRNA
ACCAAUGGAAGCAACUUCCAGCAGUCCUAAAGAGAGACUCUGAGGUCUCUGUGCAGCGAAUCCCAGAAAUGAAGACCAGGCUAGCAGUAUUCUUGCUUUUAUCGGUGCUCUGUACCUCAGUCUCUCAACUGCAAAAUGAGCAACCUGAUUGACAGAGUUUUCAUUUCUCUCAGCUCCCUUUCCUCUUCUGUUUUACCUUUCGUUUUUCUGGAUCUUAGAACACACUUCAGUUAAGACCUUCGUUUCUUUUAACUAGAGGCUGGUGCAAACCUGGGCAGGUCUAAGAUUAGACCCGGGCUAGGAAAGUAGGGCUUAGUGGCUUAAAGGUUGUUGUGGCUGCAAGCAGAAGGAGAAUGGAAGAAGGAAAAGAAUUCAGCUCUUCUACAAGUUCAGUGAUGGCUCUGAUGGUACCUAAGAGGCCUAAGUAACCUCAUGUGUGCUCAAAGGUUUCAGUUGCAUCCACUGGGGAUGAAAUACUGAAUUUCACAAGUGGAGACAAUACCUUGUUAACCACCUAUACUAGAGUGAUGGGAAUGAGGCUGAGCUACAGGCAGCAGCUUCUAGCCCCUGGAUAUUUCUAGCACCUUCUUGCAGACCCCAUUGGAAGCCUUUGAGGAACUGUGUGAAUAUAACCUGUGCUGCUGGCUUCUGGAC